rnacentral:tRNA from 1 species
GGCCCGUUGGUCAAGCGGUUAAGACACCGCCCUUUCACGGCGGUAACACGGGUUCGAAUCCCGUGCGGGUCA